rnacentral:misc_RNA from 1 species
GUCAAUUGGGACCAUUUGUGAUGUAUUUGAAUUUGUAGAAACAAAUUGUGAUUCAGAUUGGUUAGGGUUCCUAUUCUGACAGCUUGACCUAGGUAUCUUUUAGGGACAAAAACUAAAAAUUUACCAAUCCAAUUGGUGUGAGGCACAUAAUGACAUAUUUUUCAUUUAGAAACCAUGCCCAGAAAAUGACAUUAACAUAGUAAACAAUUAGGUCAAAUCCGGAUAUUGUGCACUGUCACUGUAUCAAAAUGACCAAAUGGCCAUAACUUGGGCUAGACAGGUCCA